CCCACACUUAAAGUGGGGGGCAUUAGGCUCCAUCUUUUGUAGGAAGGUGUAUCCAAGAAUUUGUGAACAUCUUUUUAAACCAGCACAUUAGCUGUCAUUAGAAUUUGAAGAAAUGAGAAUUGGCUGAUUCUAAGCCUGGGGCAGAAAAUACCCGUAAUGAGGAGCCUGGAGGAUCUUUUACUAUCAAAAGAAGAGAAGUCCAAACCCACUGAUUUUUUGGGUCUCUGUAUGUGAUGUGACGUAGCAGUCUUCUGUUUGAAACUCAGGAAAGAAACAAUUGGGAUCCAAACAGUCAAAUAUGCAGGGUAUCGUUCUCAUUGGGAGAAGAAUUGUCUGAGAACCUCUAAGCCAUGCUCAUAUUGAACUUCUGAAACUGAGUCCACGACAACAUCUGGUGGGGCAAGAGCAGGGACAGUAACAAACUCCAAGUCAGGAUCACCAGUUACUUUCCUAGGAAGCCGAUAGACAGGCUUCUCAAAGCAGUAGGUACUUCUGGCAGAAAUCUCAUGUUACAAAUAUUCUUCUUUUAUUGGAAGAUGAUGGAUUUUUAAAAAUUUUUCCAGUCCUUAACAUCCACUAUGUUGCCAUGCAAUAUGAUGGGGUUGUUUUCAUAUACUCCCAACAGAUCUCUAUACCACCUAGGUGCACACUUGUAACUCUCGCUGUUAAAGUCAAAAAUUUUAGUCGCACACUUGCUUUGGAUACUUUGUAGUCCUCCUUAUCUGCAGUUUCACUUUCCGCAGUUUCAAUUAUCCUGAGGUCAACUGCAGUCCAAAAAUAUUAAAUGGAAAAUUACAGAAAUAAAUAAUUCAUAAGUUUUAAAUUGCGAACCAUUCUGACUAGCAUGAUGAAAUUUCGUGCCAUCCUGUUCCAUCCUGCCCAGAUGUGAAUCAUCUCUGUGUCCAGUGGAUCCACGCUGUAUAUGCUACCUGCCCAUCUGUCACUUAGUAGUGUCUCCAUUAUCAGAUCAACCGUCGUGAUGUCACAGUACUUGUGUUCAAGUCACCCUUAUUUUACUUAAUAAUGGCCCCAAAGCACAAGAGUAGUAAUGC
rnacentral:lncRNA from 1 species